GACAAUGAAGGGCUUGUUCUCGCUCCCACAGGCACUAGCCGGGCCGAGUGCCUAAGGCCGGAGCAGCCUGUCCGUCGCAGGGUCCUCGAAGGCCUCCAGUACCCUUUCUCGGUGACGAGCUUCGGGAAGAAUCUGUAUUACACGGACUGGAAGACGAAUUCCGUGGCUGCCGUUGAUAUCGCUGUUGCCAAAGAGACGGACACCUUCCACCCCCACAAGCAGACCCGGCUGUACGGCAUCACCACCGCCCUGUCUCAGUGUCCCCAAGGUCACAACUACUGCUCAGUGAACAACGGUGGCUGCACCCACCUCUGCUUGGCCACCCCAGGAAGCAGGACCUGCCGUUGCCCUGACAACACCCUGGGAGUUGACUGCAUUGAGCGGAAAUGAAGACAAGACUGCCUUGUUUCCUCACCGAGUAUUUCGCAGCAACACCCUGCUGCAAAGGGUCCAGACCGAAAACUGUCUGACCUGGUGGCUGAGUGGCCGCCAGCCUGAGCCUUAACAACGUUCCCCUCCCCGUUCCCCAACUCAUAAGCCCUGAGCUUCUGGAAUGGGGAAGUUCCUACCCCUCCACAAAGACAGGACCCGCCCCCCCGCCCCCCCCAAACCCUUAGACAAAUGAAUACAGCCCCGAGGGAGGGUUAUGUGCCCUGUCCCUGUGCUCUGGAACUAAGUUGUGUUCCCCAACUUAGCACCCCAGUGGUGAGCAGACCCUCCCAGGCCUGAGCCAUCCCCUGUGGCCUUAUAAGCUCAGCCGCACACUGACACACCCACCACUUUGUCAGCACCUCGACACCUGCCAAGGCUGCAGCCCGUUGGAACCUAAAUCAGGAGAAAGCCUUUCCCUGAAUAAUUGGAGUUUGUUUUCAGAGGCGAGUUCCGCCCCCUCCGCCCCCCCGAGAAUCACAGCGUUUGGGGAACACACAGGUUGUUUAGAUGGCCCAACUCAUAAAUUAGUUUCACUUUCUUUUUAUAUUUAUCAUUCAUUCUAUAUCAAGCCCUC